rnacentral:lncRNA from 1 species
UAUGCCAAGCUUUGUCGGCCUAAACAUGCUACUAGCGGAUAAAUUAGUAAAUAGAUCUACGUGAACAAGAGAUUCAGAACAUUAAAAAUUUAUAUUUUACCUCAUUCCAUAACUUUUAGGUCCAAUCUUAUUUUAACGCACAUCUCCACAAACUGUUCUCUUAAAUCCAACAAAUAACAGUCCAAAUUGUCCAAUUCAAAUUAAUGAUUAGUAAUCCAUUUACGUUUCGAAUCAACCUUAAACCCAAACAUCAUAUAAGCAUGAAAUUUUUAUCAUACAAGUUCAAGAUAUCACAAAUAAGCAUGAAAUUCACACAAGUCUAUCACCCAACCAUCAUAUAAGAAAAAAUCAAUAAAUAAAUGGUAAGAUAGUGACGGACCUCAAAGCAAAGUAAUUUUGAAUCUGAAAAUACUUAACAACGGAAAACUUAGACAACAACAACCUCGACAAAACUGCGAACCUUCCCGGAACCUCAGACUACGACCUUCGACGAGCUCGAAACUCGUCGGAAAACUCGAAUUAAACCAAAAAAAUAAAACCAACGGACUCUGUGACAGUGACUGGCGAUUUGGAGCGGCUUCGUGCUAUUUAGGGUGCUUUGUAGGUGAAUUUUGCAACUGCCUUUUUCGAAGAUAAGACAAUUGGUUUUACAUGGUUAUGGAGGUUUAAUGGAGUAUGGAGAAGAAAAGGUUAACAAUGGUGGAAAAGCCAAUUUCUUAGAAGUGGGAUCGAGAAGAUGACUGCGGCGCUAGAGAUUCCUUCCUACUGGUUCCCCUGUUUCUUUUUCCUGCCUCCCCGUUAAUUGUUGCCUCUUCUCACUCUCUAUUUUUGACGUUCCUUUCCUCCUCUCAUUCUCACUAUUUCUCUCAAUUUCCCCUAUAUCUCUUCUUAGCUAUCACUCUCUGUCCAUGCUUUCUCUCUGUUCUCACUAGGCGUGACUCUCCUUCUAUCUAUGUUUGUGUGCAGCUGCCUAGGAUCCUUAGGGUUAGAAAAGGUUAUAAUUAGGAUUUUAAAUAGGUGUGGGUAAAUAACAAGGUCCAUUAGAUUAAAAGAAAUGAAUGGGUAGGAUUGAAAGGGGUGUUGGGCGGGUCAGCAGGUCUAGUGGGCUAAUGGAAUUGAGCUGGCCGAUUUUGAGCCUCUUUUGUCCCAAAGCAAGAUAAAAUAAUGAGCCUAAACUAUUAAAAUACUAUCAAAAUGUUAAUUAAUCCUUUGUAAGUAGAGUAAACUAUUAAAAUAAAACUGUUUUUGGUAUUUUUCAAAUAUCAUACUAAAGAUAAAAAUAGAAGUAGGUUAAAAUCAUAGAAAAAUUAAAAUAAUAUCACUUCGAAAAAGAAAACUAAGGACAUUAAAUAAAUAUAUGUAUAAAUAUGAGAAAUAUUAUAAGGAUGAAACUAUUUUUGUAGUUUUCAAUUUUAUUCUUUAAAACUAGAAUUAAAAUUUAUAAUAGAGUGAAAUCCUAUAGAAAUAAACUCAAAUAAUUAUUCUAAAAAUACUAAGACUACUAAAGAUAAUCCUAAUGUGCGGGUCAAAAAUUACGUGCUUACAGCUGCCCCUCUUUGCUCGGAAAUACGAAGUGUUUUUGAGCAAAGAAUCAAAUAAGCGACGUAAUUGAUUUCUUACCCGACACUUAUUCAAAAGAAAAUAAAGACGGAUAAAAGAGUGUGACCAAGCCCUUGUGUCCGAGCUGCCUACAUAUCUUUGGCUAUAAAGGAAUCAGGCCACGUGUAGUUCAGAGGUGAAUGAAGUGAUGGAGUAUGUGGAGAGGAUGAGAGAGUCGAGUGAGGUACCAUUCGAGGCUCCGGUCUGUGGUCCCUGCCAUUUACAUCAAACAUAAAAGCAAAAAUUAUAGCAAAAAUAAAAUAAAAAUACAAGAUCCUAUCUACUUCUUAUCUUGAAUCUCCGCUUGAUCAUUCAACAUGAAACUAACAAUCAACCCUAUUCUUCAGGUGGGCAUCCUGCAGACUCGAACUUGAAGAAAACUGAAAGUUGACCCUGUUUUUCAGGCGGGCUCCUGACUCUUGCACUUGAAAUAAACUUGAACUUGGAGUAGACUUGAGCUUGUAAACCUUGUUCUUCAGGCGGCUCGUGCUACUUCUGAUUUGACUUGAAAAAACUGGAGGUUAACCCUAUUCUUCAGGCGGGAUCCUGCUGCCUCUGACUUGAACUUCUGAAAGUUGACCCUGUUCUUCAGACGGGCUCCUGAUGCUUCUCUAACUUGAACUUGAAAACUGAAAGUUGACCCUAUUCUUCAAGCGUGCUCUUGAUGCUUCUCUAACUUGAACUUGAAAACUAAAAGUUGACCAUGUUCUUCAGGCGGGCUCUUGAUUGAUCUUGAAAGAAACUGAAAGUUGACCAUGUUCUUCAGACGGGCUCCUGGUACUUCUCUGAUUUGAGCUUAAAACCGAUUUCUGAAAUAUUGACCUCGUUCUCCAGGUGGGUGUCUCCAAUCAAAACAAACAAAACAAAAAAAAUUUCUGCCCCAGUUUGCACUAGGAAGAUUUGUGAGUUGUUAGAAAAACUAUAAAUCGCCUAUGCUAUUGAUGAAGGAUGGAAUGACGAGAGUAAAAUUAAAGACUCGACUAGGAUGUGCGUCUCAUGUGAGAUUGAGCUCAAGGAAAACUAUAAAAUGAGCUUGACUAAACUAAAAAUUGAUCCUAUUCUCUAGGCGGGACCCCUGAACUCAAGGAAAACUAAUGAUUAACAACCUAAGAAAACUAAAAACUGACCCUAUUCUCCCGGCGGGACCCCUAAACUCAAGAAAAACUAAAGACUAACAAUGUAAGGAAACUAAAAACUGAACCUAUUCUCCAGGCGGGACCCCUAAACAUAAAGAAAGCCAAAGAUUAAUAACUUAAGGAAACUACAAUUGACCCUAUUCUACAUGCGGGACCCCUGAACUAAAGAAAAACUAAGAUUAAUAACUUAAGAAAACUAAAAGCUAACCCUAUUCUCCAAGCGGGACCCCUGAGCUUAAGAAAAGCUAAAUAUUAACAACUUAAGGAAACUUAAAACUGACCCUAUUCUCCAGGCGAUAGCCUUGAACUUAAGGAAAACUAACGAUUAACAACUCAAGAAAAUUAAAAGCUGACUCUAUUCUCUAGGCGGGACCCCUUAAUUUAAGGAAAACUAACGAUUAACAACUUAAGGAAACUAAAAUUGACCCUAUUAUCCAGGCGGGACCCCUGAACUCAAGUAAAACUAAAGACUAACAACUUAAGGGAACUAAAAACUGGCCCUAUUUUACAGGCGGGACCCCUGAACUCAAGGAAAGCUAAAGAGUAACAACUUAAGAAAAUUAAAAUCUGACCCUAUUCUCCAGGCGGGACCCCUGAAUUUAAGGAAAACUAAAGAUUAACAACUUAAGAAAACUAAAAUUGACCUUGUUCUGCAGGCGGGACCCCUGAACUCAAGUAAAACUAAAGGCUAACAACUUAAGGGAACUAAAAACUGGCCCUAUUUUAUAGGUGGGAUCCCUGAACUAAUGGGAGCCAAAGAUUAAUAAUUUAAGGAAACUAGAAUUGACCCAAUUCUACAGGAGCCCUGAACUAAAGGAAAACUAAGACUAACCACUUAACAAAACUAAAAGGUCACCUUAUUCUCUAGGCGGGACCCCUGAACUCAAGAAAACUAAUGAUUCUUCUCAACUAGGGGAAUGCCUAGGAAGUAUGGUUCUUCUCAACUAGGAAAAAUGCCUAGGAGGUAAUGAUCUUCUCAACUAAGAAAAUACCUGAGGGUAAUGAGAUUCUCAAACAGCCUAUACUUCAUUAAAACAAUCAUGUGAUCUUUUUCUCUUUUUUUCUUUUUUUUUUUAAUUAAAAAAAUUGGUUGACUCGUGACAAACUUGUAAGCUGAAUUUUAAGCAUUAUUGUUUGACUUGGCUUGCCAGGGUUGAAUUGAAUUGGUUUCAAAGAAGGUCUAAAGUGAUUCGCCCAUGGGAUUCGACCAAGUUCAUUCCUAUCACUUCACUCAAAUUUUCAAAAUUAAUUCAUUCUUUUCAGUUGAAUUGUCAAAUAAGUCAUUUCCCUUUACCAGGAUUGACGAAUUGAUCGUCUAUUUCACAUUGAUUGCCAAAACUGAUCAUCUGCCUUCCUAAUUUGGGACUUCUUUGUGGCAAAUUUAAAAAUUCUUUCUUGCUUGUAUUGAGCAAAAGAAGAAGAACAAAUGCACAAGUAAAAAUCAAAGAGAGUGGUGUAUGAUGAGAUUCCACUGAGAAGGAGAGCUUAUCUAAAAUGAAGAAUAAGGUAAAGGAAUGUGACAUGCAUUUAGACCAAUAACUUGAUUUGUCAAUCUUUUCAAACUUGUUGACUCUUCAAAUUCUUACGUGAUGUUGAUGAGUUGGUCUACUUUGCUCCUCCAAAUGUGCCGCAGAUGUUGCAUGUUUUCAUCAAAAACAUUUUGUUGCACACAUAUCUCACCAUUUUGACUUGUAGUGCCUCGAAAGGUUUUCACCGACAAGUCUCUCUCAUUUUUCUCUUUGCUCUCAUUCAUUGCCGCUUUCAAUUCUUAGCUUGGUUAAUUGACUACCCCUUCAAUCGUUAUUGAUUUUUACAAAAAUCUUGAUAAGCUCAUAACAUGCUUGACUUAGCAUUUUCAAGAAUCAAUCUGAUAAGGACUUUUAUUUGAAUCGUAAUGAAGGCUUUUGGACAAGGUGAGAAACAAAGGACUGCAUGGAGACUCAAAAUUGUAAUGACGGGGUUACUUUAUUUACAACUUUUGGGAUCCAUUUUAAACACUUUGCCCUAGUUUCUACAACAGGAGAAUUUAUUUUUUUUCCUUUUUGAGAUGGAAUUUCUAAGAAAACUGCCCCCUCUUGACUUCGUGGGAUUAUGAAAUAUUUUAUUUGGUGCGACCGAACCGUAAGGCUGCCUACGUAUCUUGUGGUAACAAGAAUCAGGUCGAACGCAGUUCAAAAGAAUACUUUUUUGUUGUUGCCAAUUUUUUUUUCUUCCCUUUUUCUUCUUUUUUUCUUUUUUUUUGAUUCCUUUUUUUCUUUAUCUCUUUCCUUUUCUUCUUUUUUUUCUUUCGGUAUGAACUUCUAAAACAAACCUUAUGGGGACAUGGAUUUUUUUUAGUGACUCUAACUUGAUUCCAAAAGAGGAGAGGUCAAAGAAAUCAACACUGGCUCAAAAGGGUACCGAAGGGUAUAAAGUAUUUGGGUAACUGAAAGAGGGCCUCCCAAUCUCUGAAAAUGGCAAGUACAUCACAUGCAACUUGAGGAUAAAAAAUAAAAAUCAUGGCACAAUAUUUCUUUUGCAGCUUCAGCAUUGAUAUCACUUAUCUGCCUUCCACUUUUUUUUAGUGCCUUGUCAAGUAUAGAACUCUCGUUGGGUGAUUGCUUCUUCACACUAGAUACCGUCCAUCAGUUUAGGACAAACUCCCUUGGCUUUAUCUUAUAACUUGAGAUGCACUUGAACUCAAAUUUCUUUGUUUCAAAUUGUCCAAGACGCACUCUCUUUUAACAAAUUCUUGUCGUCCUCUUAACUUCACAAAAUGUCUGCCUCAGUUUCACACAAUUCGGGCUUUAAAUGACCUCAAAAUGUCCAAAUCUUUACUUAUUUUCCCUCAAAUGUCCCUGUCAUCUUCAAACCUUGUUUCAUUGCUUCAUGAUUAGACUAACUUUCAAGACCAGGCUGAGAAUUAUGCGUGCAUGUCAUGUCACUAGAAUCACCAUGAAGAGAACUAAACAAAAACUGACUAAAAAUAACAGAAAACAGGAGAUUGCAUUAGGACAGACGAUGAAAGGGUUUGAACAACAAAAUAAGCAAAAUAGACAUGGGUUACAACCCUGGAACAAUCCUAGAUAACACUAGAUGAGUUACUACAACUAAACACACUACGCAAAAUAAGAGGAAGAAGGGUUUGAGCGACAAGACAAUAUUCAGAUUACAACCGUGAAAUAACCCGGACAACAGAAACGACGACAAAAUAAACUACCAAGACUCCUCCAUGGCUAACCAAGAAAGGAGUGUCUUUCCAAUUUCUAAGCUCGACAUCUAAGCCACUGAGUCACACAUCAACGUUACUAGGACCUUCACAAAUCUCCAUCACAUUGACCUCAGCAAAUUGCUUUUGGGUCCCUUUUGCCACCUCGUUCUUAAGAUCAACUUUUGGAACCGAGACUGAUAGCGGUGAAAACUUUGCAAAAAGUGGUCCUCCAAGAAACUCAGAAGAGUUCUCAUAUUCCUUUUCAACACAAAUUAUGCCCACCAUAUGCAUCUCAUUAUGAACAGGCAAUGGACUUUGGCUAGUAAUCGCUGCAUCUAGAUUUUGCACGAUAAUGUCACCUGAAUCAAUAAGCUUCUGGACUGCUCUUUUCAAAUUCCAACACUUUUCUAUGUUGUGCCCUGGGGAAUUAAAGCAAUAUGUGCACCUUUGAGAAUAAUCAAAAUUCUUUGGAAGGGGGUUCGAUAUUUUUAUCUGAAUAGGCUUCAACAUGUCCAAUUGCCUCAACUUUUGGAACAAACUGGCAUAUGAUUCUCCAAUAGAAGUGAGACUUUUCCUUUUGUUGCUGCCUUUUCAUUUUGUACUCCGGCCUUGGUAGGAACCUCUUGCGGGUAGGUGGUUUAUAUGCCUGUAGAGGUGGGUAAGACAUUUGUGGAGGUGGUGUAGGCCAUUGCGGGUCUGGUGGAUGUGAAGCAUAUAGCGGUGCGUUGUGGAUAGAGUACCGGAAAAGUAAGGUAUGACUUUGGGGAUUUUGUGGAGAGAAGUAGCAUUGGGGAGGAUUAUCUGGAGUACGGGGAUAUUCAUAAGAUCGAUGUUGUGGAUAAGAGUGUUGAGGAAGAAGGCCCACCAGAUCUCGUCGUUUCCGGGGCUCAACAACAUCUUUUCUGUUUCUUUUUCUUCCACCCAAACCUACGGAUACGUGUUGAAUAACCUCUGUGGUGUCUCUCAACGUAGGGCAACUCAUGAAUUUGCCUGAAUUGAUUCCUUCUUCUACCAUCUCCCCCAUUUUCACCACAUCAUUGAAAGGCUUACCUAAAGAUGGGAUCAAAUGACUGAAGUAGGUGGGUACCUCAGCUUGUAGGAAAAGCUUAACCAUUUCUUCAUCAUCAAUCGGGGGACUGACCCAAGUAGCUUGUUCCCUCCAUCUGAGCACAAACUCCCUAAAACUUUUAUCAGGUUUCUUUUCCAUCUUAGAUAGGGAGGAACGAUCUAAGAUAAUGUCUAUAUUGUACUAAAAGUGUCGAAUAAAAUCUUGAGCCAUGUCAUCCCAUGUAUGCCAAUUACUGACAUCUUGACGAGUAUACCAUUCCAAGGCUGCCACACUCCAGCUCUCACUGAAAUAUGCCAUCAACAAAUCAUCUUUCCCGCCAACACUUCUCAUUUCAUUGCAAUAACCCCUCAAAUGGGCUACUGGAUCUCCAAGCCCAUCAUACAAGUUAAAGUUUGGCAUUUUAAACACCGCGGGCGGAUGAAUAUUGGGAAACAUAGACAAGUCAUUGUAGGACACGUUAAUCUGAUUUCUCAUCCCUUGCAUAUUCUUUAAGGAGUGUUCUAUACCCUUCAGCUUUCUGGAUAUCUCAUCUCGCUCUUUUCUCCUUGUGAACUUUUCAUUUUCAACAUGAGGCUCAUUCCGAGGGCUAUGAUUGUAUGAGUCCGGGACCUGGUUGGCCAACUAUGGGAGGUAGUAUUGGGUAUCAUGAGGUUUGAACAAGUGUUCACCGUUGGACCUAAAAGGAGGUUGUUGAGAAGUUGUGAUGGUGGAGGUAGCAGAUAUGACAGGAGGAAUAUUUUUGGGAAAGGUAGCUAGAGGACGAACGAUGGAGCUGCUAGGGAGGUUGGGAAAGUUGUGAUAAACGGGAAAAUCUAGAGAGUAUGGUGGAUCUUCUAGCACUAUGACCAGAGCUUGGGUAAGGGUAGCAUCUAAGAAGCUAGGUGGUGGUGGGGAUAGUGUCUUCCCAGCCAUCCAAGCCUGGUACAUAUCCGCCAUAUAUUAUCUUAAAAUCCUUAACUCUUCAACCAACCCAGUAUCCUGUUCAACCAAUUGCUUUUGGGCCCAGUAUCAACCAACUCAAUUCCGUUGUCGUCUGCCAUUGCCUUUCGACUUUAUGUUGUAGGGAAAAAGUUACUAGUUUAAGAACAACAAACCAACCACCCUUGUGCUAUAAUAAAGAUAACAAAGAGGAACAAAAUCAAGUCAUCAUAUUAGUAUUAGGGCAUUUAACAAAAUAUAAUCUCACAUUAUAUGAAAUGCACCUAGUCACAGUUAUCGAUUCUAAAAUGACUUCGAGGGUACGAAGGUCAUAUUGGCAUCAUCCAAAGUUUACUCUUCUUGCCCCUUUUACUCUUCAUUUUUUCUCUUUAACACUUCUUGGUUUUCUCAUUUUCUUUCCUCUCCUUUUCUUUCUGAUUAUCACUCUUUUCUUUCCUCUAACUUCUUACAUCCCACAACAUCAUCACUUUUUUUAAUUCUAAAAAUGAUUUGAUCGAACCCGAUGUAGGUUGCCUACGUAUCAUGUUCCACAUGAAUCAGACCAAACGUAGUUCUGGAAAAGUAAUGGAAAAAAUAAACUAAAAACAAAAAUCUUUUUGGAUUUUUCAUUUAUAAUAUUUUUGGUUUUCACAUACAAAAUAGGAAGUACGAUAACAAAAGAUUCGACGAACUCAACUAGACUAUGACAGACUUUGACACCACCUAAGAGACUCAAUACUAUUGUAUAAGACUAGAAAGUAAAAGACAACAUAAAACAAACUCAAAAAAUAAAAAGUCCCCUUAAACAUCUCCUGAAGGCAACGGUCCUGGCUGGGAAGCUCCUGGGGCGUCUGUCGUGCUCAAGAUCUGGUAAAUGAAUCCAUACCUGAAUGAGAAGAAUAAGACUAAAUAGAGUUAGUGACUCAAGACACUAUGCGAUGCCACAAAACCUUCUAUUGGACACAUGUAAGUCAUGAUUGGGCUAUAUUUGUAAAAUGGCCUACGUGGCCAAGGGUGACUAUUAGUACGAACUCAACAAAAAUGACCUCCAAGACAUGGAAAUAUCUCACUAAAGCUUAUAUGGCUUCAAACUCCCAAUAAUCAUGGCCCUAGAAAUUACUUUGCAAAAAUGACCCAUUUUGCAAAAAUGGAUGAUAUGGCCAAACACGGCAAGAGAUGCAAAUUCAACAAGGACGGAUCUUAAAGUAAUAGGCAAAAUGACCCCAUUUUGCAAGAAUGGUCGAUGUGGAUAAAAAUGGCUAGACAUGCAAAUUCAACAAGGACGUGCCUUAAAAUAAGGAGACAACUAAUUGUGAAUUCAAGACUCUCCGAACACGGUUCAACAAGCCACUUUGCAAAAAUAGCCUUAUUUUGCAAAAGGGUCGAUGUGGCCAAAAGCGGCUAGGCAUGCAAGAUUUGGCUACGACCUCCGAAGCCAAGAACUUAAGACUCACUAGGAAAAUCGGACCCUAUGUGGGCUGCUUACGUAUCCCGCCCAAAAAUAUGAGAAUCAGGUAUGCGUGGUUCGGGAAGAUUGGAUACGGAAGAAAAUUAAAAAAAUAACUGAUUUGGAGAAAACAUAUUUUUUGUCUUUUUGAAAAAUGAUGGAAAAUGUAAAAUCUUUUUGGAUUUUCUUUUUCUCUUGUUUUUUUUUAUUUUUGGAAAAAACUAUGAAAGAAAAAUGUGGAUGGGCCCAACUUGCUUCAUUUUAUACUUCACCCUCUUUUCUUUCUCACUGUUCCGCCAAAUGACCCCUUCACCCUUAAAGAAUACAUCAUGUAGCACAUAGGGAUGGUUAAAUAUCUUUUUGGGCCAUGGGCCCGGUUUGACAUAAUUUGGAUAGGCCUCCUACAACGGGACACAGUGCUUGGGACCGAGCCUUGCUAGGUCUAAAUGACAUGAUGCAAAUAAGCAUGACCUAAAAGAUGACCUACGUUUGGGAUUCACUAGACAAGGUAAUUCAGGGCGACACGUGGUCGAUAGCGGCUGCUCUAGCUUUUCGCUCACUUCACGCUCACAUGCCAUCCCCUAAAGACACGGGUGACUCACAAAAGGCCGUAUAAGCUCAAACGUACUCCGGAAGACUUGUUGCGGAAAAAAGACUCAUAGUUAUGAAAAUGAUGACAGUUUUAAAGCAGUAAACACAUAAAGAAAAAACUGUAAACACAUAAACAACUAGCAAAUAAUAACAAACUAUAAAAACACAACAAAAUUCAGAUAAAGCAAAUAAAAAACAUAAAAACCUCAACUGAAUUUUCUAAAAAGCCAACAAGAUCGUAGUAUCAGCUCGAACCUGCAACUCCCCAGCAGAACCACCAAAACUGUCACACCCCCGUUUCACCUCACUAACCCUCUUUAAAAAUAAUAAAAGAUUUUUGAAGCUUGAAAGGGUUUCAAUUUGAAAAGUGACAAAAAGAUUGCAUCUCGAAGGAAUUUCAUAGUCGCCACCUGACAUUUGGUUUCGGUGUGCCAUGUCACCAUUUUUAAAAUAACAAUUCCCUUCAAAAUACAUUUGACUCUUAAACAAGUUUGCACCAAAGAUUCAGGUAAGAAGGUUCAUUUGACUCAGGGAGAAGGUGUUAGGCAUUUCCUGAGUCCCGUAACUACUACGGUUGAGUACAUGAUCAAAUUGGCUUUUAAGAAUACUCAGAUUGACUUGGAAACACGAAAGAGGCUCGAGGUCAUCCUCGUCUAAUAAAAGAAAAAUAAGAAAAAAGAAAAGAAAGUACUAAAAGAAAAUAUACCAAAAGUUCUAAGCUAUCCUACACUACAUUUCCUCCACGAUGUAGUUUCGGCCUCCGUUUACAUUCACUUCGGGGCAUACCCCAGAUAAAAUAUUUUCAAGCCCUUCGGGGAAUUCCCCGGAUAAAAAUAACAUACUAAAGGGACAACCUCUCACCUCUGAAGCUAAAAUCAUAAACAUCUUAAAGUUUGCCUACGCCAAGCUUUGUCGGCCUAAACAUGCUACUAGCGGAUAAAUUAGUAAAUAGAUCUACGUAAACAAGAGAUUCAGAACCCUAAAAACUUAUGUUUUACCUCAUUCCAUAACUUUUAGGUCCAAUCUUAUUUUAAAGCACAUCUCUACAAACGGUUCUCUUAAAUCCAACAAAUAACAGUCCAAAUUGUCCAAUUCAAAUUAAUGAUUAGUAACCCAUUUACGUUUAGAAUCAACCUUAAACCCAAAUUCGUUUCCUAAUUAACCAAAGCAAUAACUUACAGUAAACCACAAUUUUUAUCAUACAAGUUCAAGAUAUCACAAAUAAGCAUGAAAUUCACACAAGUCCAUCACCCAAACAUCAUAUAAGACAAAAUCAAUAAAUAAAGGGUAAGAUAGUGACGGACCUCAAAGCAAAGUAUUUUUGAUUCUGAAAAUGCUUAACACCAGAAAAUUUAGACAACGACAACCUCGACGGAACCGCGAACCUGUCCGGAACCUUAGACUCGACCUUCGACGAGCUCAAAACUCGUCGGAAAACUCGAAUUAAACCAAAACCAUGAAACCAACAGACUCUGUGACAGUGACUGGCGAUUUGGAGCGGCUUCAUGCUAUUUAGGGUGCUUUGUAGGUGAAUUUCACAGCUGCCUUUUUCGGAGAUAAGACAAUUGGUUUUACAUGAUUAUGGAGGUUUAAUGGAGUAUGGAGAAGAAAAGGUUAACAAUGGUGGAAAAGCCAAUUUCUUAGAAGUGGGAUCGAGAAGAUGACUGCAGCACUAGGGAUUCCUCCCUACUGUUUCCCCUAUUUGUUUCCUGCCUCCCCGUUAAUUGUUUCCUCUUCUCACUCUCUGUUUUUGCCGUUCCUCUCCUCCUCUCGUUCUCACUGUUUCUCUCAAUUUCCCCUCUAUCUCUUCUUAGUUAUCCCUCUCUGUUCGUGCUCUCUCUCUGUUCCCACUAGGCGUGACUCUUCUUCUAUCUAUAUUUGUGUGCAACUGCCUAGGGUCCUUAGGGUUAGAAAAG